GGAGAAUCGCUCGAACCCGGGAGGCGGAGGUUGCGGUGAGCUUGAGAUCGCACCACUGCAUUCCAGCCUGGGCGACAAAG
rnacentral:snRNA from 1 species